rnacentral:rRNA from 1 species
UACGUAGGCAGCGAGCGUUGUUCGGAGUUACUGGGCGUAAAGGGUGUGUAGGCGGUUGUUUAAGUUUGGUGUGAAAUCUCCCGGCUCAACCGGGAGGGUGCGCCGAAUACUGAAUGGCUAGAGUGCGGGAGAGGAAAGUGGAAUUCCUGGUGUAGCGGUGAAAUGCGCAGAUAUCAGGAAGAACACCCGUGGCGAAGGCGGCUCUCUGGGACGGUACUGACGCUGAGACGCGAAAGCGUGGGGAGCGAACAGG